CCUUCAGUAGCUCAACGGUAGAGCGAGGAGAAAUGAUAGCCUCACAUCUCGCGCCUAGGUUGUCUCCUGGUUGCUGGUUCGACUCCAGUCUGAAGGU